UUAAGUUUGAAGCAGAGGCAGUUUGUUCCAUCUUGUUCGAAAAAAGAUGGAUGGUUAUUUUGGUCAACUUGUGUUCAUGCAAUAAAAGCUAUCUAUAAAAAGUCUUCAAUCAUUGACCCAUGCAACAAACUUAGACUUAAAAGACUUAAAGUAACUGGAGAUCAUUAAAUUUUUAAAUAAAGAAGUAUGUGCAGGAUUUAAUUUCACAAUUAAAGAGGACUCCAAAGAAGAGUUAAAGUUCUGGUGGAUCAAAGAUCGAGGAAUGAUUUGGCUUUAACUGGUUUGCAUCUUAUGAACGAAGUACAUAAUAUGAUUUAAAUGAAUGAUUUAUAGUUACACUAAUUGAA